rnacentral:lncRNA from 1 species
UACAGGUGAAGGGGGGAAGGCAACAAAUCACACUGCCAUGUGUGUACCUAUGCAACUAUCUUGCAUGUUCUUCACAUGUACCCCAAAACCUAAAAUGCAAUAAAAAAUAUAAAAAUUAAAAAAAAAGAAGCAGUCACACUCACCAAAUGUUCCAUUUGCUCCCAUAUAUUUCUCAAUUCUCUUAAAGUUACAGGAAGCCAAUGGCUGUUUCUCACAAAUGAGAUAUGAGCAGAGUGAUAACCUGUCACUUCCAAAACAAGGCAGUUAAAGGCUUAUUCUCAGCUCUCCGAUCUCUCUCUUCCAAUGAUGAGGCAAGUGUAGAAGGCUAACAUUCACAAUGGUUCAACUUAAAGAGAAGCAACCCUCCAUCUGCUGGCUUCUGAGUGAUGAUAUGAUCCAGAACACUCUGCCCACCAACAUGACAUAAACUGAGUAAGAAGGAAAUCUUAUUAUAUUAAAUCACUGAGUUAACAGGGUUACUUGUUACUUCUCGAUAACCUAACUUAUCCUUACUAAUGUACCUUAUUUUAAAGAUGCAAAAACAGUUACAGAUAGUGGAAGUGAGCAGUUCAAGGUUACUGAGAUUUGAACUAAAACUCAGGUCUCCUGACAUUCUAAAGCAAAGUUCUCAUUAUGCCAAUCUGUUUGGUCUGGAAAGGCAGGACAACUUAGAAAAGACAGGAAUACUUGAAGCCAAGCUGGGAAGGAGCUUCCAUGUCACAGACAGAUGAUAUACAGUUACAUUACUUUAAGUUUCUGAUUAGCCUUUCCAAAGAAGGCAAAUCAGAUCUGCAUCUAUCUCAAUGAGCAAAGAAAGGGGUGACUUUUAAUAGAAUGGGAGGCAGGUUUGCCCUACACAAUUUCCAGCUCGAGUUUUCCUUAGUGAUUUGGGGAAUAUUUUCUUUUCACACAUCCAUUGUAUGGUUGGUUGUUUAUCAUAUUUAUAUCAUGUAUUUCCUUUCUCAAAAUUUCUGGGACAUAUUUAUGUCUACUGAUUUAUUUGCUUACUCAACAUAGUACAAUCAUACUAAAUUGGUUGCAGGCACUUUAUAGUAUAUUCUCUUGUUCUUCAGGUUAUUUGCAAGCAUUAAGACCAUCUUAUAAAUGAAAUAUUUAUGUGGUAUUCUAAACAGAAUUGCAUUAAAUCUAUGUUAAUUUGGGGACAAUUGACCUAUUUAUAAGAAGUCUUUCCAUCUAAGAAUAUUAUUUUCUUUUCCAUUUAAUAAGAUCAUGAGUUUCAAAACAAAUUCUCACAUAAAUCGUGUGUCUCUUUUUCCUGAACUCAUUACUAAGUAGUUUUCAGUAUAUAUUUGCUAUAGUUAAUUAUUUCCACGAUAAGUUUUGCUAUAUUUUAAGUAUUUCUAGAGUAGAAAAACAGGUAUUAAUUACAUUUCUUGUCUCCAUUAUUUCUUAUCUCCAUAUAUUAUCUAGUCUACUGAUGAAUUAUAUAAGUCUUUCCAAAUAUAUACAUACUUUAUUUUUCUGCUUUAGCCAUUUUACAGAAAUAUAAUUCAUCAGCAAAGACAGUGUUUCAUUUUAGUUUUUCCAGUGUUUACACUAGACUUAUUGAAUGUUUAAGAAUUUUUAAGGCAUAAAUGAUAUUUAUAAUAGAUAUACCAGUUCAGCUAACAAUUCAAAUAGUUUCAUUUUUUAACAAGGCUGUUGACUUCAUGUCAUAUUCCUUAUAAAAUUUACCUUUUCAGAAUUUCAAAUAUUUAAGAAAUAUAAAAAGUGAUUAAUUUUAUUAAAACACCUCAGAUCCACUAUGAAAUGUAUUCUGUGACUACUGUAACAUAUUUGACUAUAUAUGAAAUUAAUUUUUAAAGUUUCUAUCCUCUAUAUCUUAUUAGUGCUCUUUUGGAUAUCUUCUUUAUACUGGAAAUUGUAGAUACAGCUGUUGAAUUUUGUCAAAUACAUUUUACUCUUUAUUAAGAUGAAUUAUUUGGUGUGUUAAUACAAUAUAUUAAGUGAUAUAUUUUUGGAUAUUAAACUUCUUUUCCUUAGAAAAAAUCCUGCUUUACAAUAGUGUCUUAUUUUUUGAUACAUUCCUAAACCAUCUGCUAAUAUUUUGACAAGAAUUUUGCUCCACAUUUGAAGGUAAAAAUAGUCUAACAUUUCAUAACUAUCAUUAUAGUUAUUACAGCAAUACUGCCUUCACAAGAAAAUGGAUUGCAAAACAAUCCAUCACUUUAUAUGUUAUCGGAUUAGUUCAAAUGCCAUUAGAAUUACUAUUCUUCAAAUCAAAAUGAAACCAAAGCUAAAACUCAGUGUUGAAUCUAUCAAGUCCUAAUUAUUAAUCAGUGGUUUAUAUCACCCUUCCUAUUUAUUUGUUGUAAUUUAUAUUUCCUACUUCUUGUGUACAUUUUGAUGACUUGUAUUUAUUUUCCUGAAAAAUAUUCUGCUUUCUUCUGAUUUCAGUUUUGUCGACACAGAAUUGUCAUAGUGUUCAAAGUCUUUGUAAUUCUCCCCCUGAUUCUUGGGCACCACUUGAUGUCACUUGGUUGGCUCACUGGAAGAAUGGUCUGUUUGUUGUGGGAAUACAUAAAGUCCUGUAGGUGGCAGAAGCAAAGUGGUCAAUAUCCCUGAUGUCACAGUUGGCAGAAUGUUAGUUUCAUGUUGAGACAAACAGAAAGUUUCUGUGUAUUCUGAUCCCUAGAACUCAUCAAGCUCCACUCAUCCAUUCAAGUUCUGGGAUGCUUUGGGAUUAUGGGGCUCUUAACUACUUACAUAAUGUC